UGAUGAGAUUUGUUUACGAAAACUUACAGCACCAACGUUGAGAAUUUAUACGAUAACACACGUGGCGCUUUUAAUGCAGAAAGGUGAAGUAUUGUUAAAACCAAGGACGCGCGUUGAAAAAAGCGUGGAAGAGGCAGGACGGAUCGUUAAUUAAAAGUCAGAGUGACAGACGUUUAAUCGAAUUUCAACGUCGCCAAAGUGUCGCAUUACCACAGAAGUGUAGUCUGAAAGGAGCGUCGAUAUUUGUUAGCGAGGCGAACAUGAGAAGUGAGAAAGUGCUGAGCGGAUACCAACCUGUGGCGUAAGCGCGCGCGUGCUAUUAAUGAACUUGUAAUUAAAUCGCAGACUUGGCUAAUAACACAUCUAGCGAAGAACCAUGUGAGAAUCUCACUUACAUUACGUUUCAUUCGUAUCCAUGUCCUGAUAUCAAUAAUUAAUUUCAUUUCGUUUUACCGAUGAAAUUUGUCCGAAAAUGAUAAAAACGUUUAAUCUGAUAUGUAAAUAAGUAAAUUUAAUGUGUUGUAUUCUUUACAAUGUAUUCUCGUAAUUAUUGCACAUUAUAAUUGUUGCACAUUUAAUUCUGAAAUAGGAAGUUUAAAACAAUAUGCAGAGCUAGUAUUUUGCAGUCUAUAUUCUUUUCUCUGAGAAAUAGGUGCAUGAAAGAUUUUUAUUUCUCAUGCAAAAAUAAAUCCAAUAUAAAAUAAAGUUAUUUUUCUGAAAGAAAAACAAUUUCUCACAGAACGGAAUAAUUAUAUUUCUUUUCUCCUUGUCAAACUUUAAUAAUCUGUUGCUGUAAAUAAAAGCGAUAAAAUAUAAAAUAUUAAGAACAAACGA